rnacentral:tRNA from 1 species
GUCUGCAUAGUUCAACGCAAGAACGCUCUGUCUGCCAAACAGAAUAACGACGGUUCAACUCCGUCAGCAGACC